rnacentral:misc_RNA from 1 species
GAACGCACAUUGCGCCCCUUGGUAUUCCGAGGGGCAUGCCUAUUCGAGCGUCAUUAUCACCCCUCAAGCUCAGCUUGGUGUUGAGGCCUGCUGUAAGGGCAGCCUCUAAAAUCAGUGGCAGUGCUGUCAGGCUCUAAGCGUAGUAAUUUUCAUCGCUAUAGACACCUGGUGGAUACUCGCCAGAACCCCCCCAUUUUUUAAUGAUUGACCUCGGAUUAGGUAGGGAUACCCGCUGAACUUAAG